GUAAGCAAGUUUUUGUUAGUUUUAGCCUCUUUUGGGAGAAAAUGGGUAUAAGUGUUGUCAAAACACCCCUAAUUAAUCUCUAACUCAUAUAAUCAGUCAAAUGCAUUGGAUUGCGAUACAUAUUGAGUUAUUGACCAUUGAAACACUAACAAAGCUAUUUACUGUUUGUAAGCAAUAUUUUGUUAGUUGUAGCUUCUUUUGGGAGAAAUGGGUAUAAGUGUUGUCUAAACACUCCUAAUCCAUCUCUAACUCUUAUAAUUAGUCAAAUGUAUUAGAUUGUGACAUAUUUUAACAAUAGAAACACUAACAAAGCUAUUUACUGUUUCUAAGCAAUUUUUCGUUGGUUUUAGCCUCUUUAGGGAGAAAAUGGGUAUAAGUGUUGUCUACACCCUCCUAAUCCAUCUCUUACUCUUAUACCUAGUUAAAUGCUUUGGAUUGUGACACAUUUUGAACAUAGAAACACUAUAAAAGCUAUUUACUGUUUCUAAGCAAUUUUUUGUAGGUAUUAGCCUAUUU
rnacentral:sRNA from 1 species